GAUGAAGAACGUAGCGAAAUGCGAUAAGUAAUGCGAAUUGCAGAAUUUCCGUGAAUCAUCGAAUCUUUGAACGCACAUUGCGCCCCCUGGUAUUCCGGGGGGCAUGCCUGUCCGAGCGUCAUUACAACCCUCAAGCUCAGCUUGGUGUUGGGCCCCGCCGCCCCGGCGGGCCCUAAAGUCAGUGGCGGUGCCGUCCGGCUCCGAGCGUAGUAAUUCUUCUCGCUCUGGAGGUCCGGUCGUGUGCUCGCCAGCAACCCCCAAUUUUUUUCAGGUUGACCUCGGAUCAGGUAGGGAUACCCGCUGAACUUAAGCAUAUCAAUAAGCGGAGGA
rnacentral:misc_RNA from 1 species